UUCCAUAAAGUCUGGGGGCACAUCAAUGCUGAACUGCCUCAAAAGAAGUUCCCAUUCGGACCAGUACCUUUUAGAGCCGGUGACC
rnacentral:SRP_RNA from 1 species